GACGAACCGUCCUAACGUUAUUCGGAAUCACUGGGCUUAAAGGGCGCGUAGGCGGAUGAGCAAGUCCGGAGUGAAAUCUUUCGGCUUAACCGGAAAAGUGCUUUGGAUACUGCUCGUCUUGAGGGAGGUAGGGGCAUGUGGAACUUCUGGUGGAGCGGUGAAAUGCGUUGAUAUCAGAAGGAACGCCGGUGGCGAAAGCGACGUGCUGGCCCUCUUCUGACGCUGAGGCGCGAAAGCUAGGGGAGCAAACGGG
rnacentral:rRNA from 1 species